UACAGAGGUCUCAAGCGUUGUUCGGAUUCAUUGGGCGUAAAGGGUGUGUAGGUGGCGCCGUAAGUCGGAUGUGAAAUUUCGGAGCUUAACUCCGAAACUGCAUUCGAUACUGCUUUGCUUGAGGACUGGAGAGGAGAUUGGAAUUCACGGUGUAGCAGUGAAAUGCGUAGAUAUCGUGAGGAAGACCAGUGGCGAAGGCGGAUCUCUGGACAGUUCCUGACGCUGAGGCGCGAAGGCCAGGGGAGCAAACGGG
rnacentral:rRNA from 1 species